GUGCGGAUACACCCAUUGCAUAGGCAGCAUUGGUGGCUGCAGCUGCAGCUGAUGCGCCAAACAGGUCUUCCAGUGCCAGUGAUUCUGCUGUGGGGAGAUACUGGGAGAGCACAUCACCGGGCAUAUCCAGCAAGUCCAGGGCUUCCAACACCAUAGCUGCUGGCUGUUGUUGUCCCAGCUGUUGCUGUACUUGUUGUUGCCGUGCAACUUGCUGCUGUUGCUGCUGUGCAACUUGCUGCUGUUGCUGUUGCAGUUGCUGUUGCAAUUGGUUUUCCUGUGGAGGGGGCGGUUGUUGUUG